GAUGAAGAACGUAGUGAAAUGCGAUACGUAAUGUGAAUUGCAGAAUUCAGUGAAUCAUCGAAUCUUUGAACGCAUAUUGCGCUCUCUGGUAUUCCGGAGAGCAUGCUUGUUUGAGUAUCAGUAAACACCUCAACUUCCAUAUCUUUUUUGAAAUGGGAGUUGGACUUGAGUGAUCCCAACGCUUUUCCUCACCGAAAAGUGGCGGGUUACUUGAAAUGCAGGUGCAGCUGGACUUUUCUCUGAGCUAUAAGCAUAGCUAUUUAGUCUGCCUAAAAACAGAUUAUUACCUUUGCUGCAGCUAACAUAAAGGAGAUUAGUUCUUGUGCUGACUGAUGCAGGAUUCACAAAGACAGGCUUCGGCCGACUUUGUAAACUCGAUCUCAAAUCAAGUAAGACUACCCGCUGAACUUAAGCAUAUCAAUAAGCGGAGGA
rnacentral:misc_RNA from 1 species